rnacentral:rRNA from 1 species
CAGUCGCCGCGGUAACACGGAGGGGGCUAGCGUUGUUAGGAAUUACUGGGCGUAAAGCGCACGUAGGCGGCUUUGUAAGUUAGAGGUGAAAGCCCGGGGCUCAACCCCAGAAUUGCCUUUAAGACUGCAUCGCUUGAAUUGCGGAGAGGUGAGUGGAAUUCCGAGUGUAGAGGUGAAAUUCGUAGAUAUUCGGAGGAACACCAGUGGCGAAGGCGGCUCACUGGCUCGAUACUGACGCUGAGGUGCGAAAGCGUGGGGAGCAAACAGGAUUAGAGACCCCCGUAGUCCCUGUCUCUUAUAU